CUUCCUUUUUAUAACAUGAGCCACUUUUACACAGCACUUCUGUUUCGGGAAUAUUUCGCUUUUAUUCCGUAACGACGUCUGUGUAAACCAAAUGGUGGGAUCAUUUGGUCCCACCUUUAUCACGGCUCUGCAACACCUGUGGAGGUAGU